AGUGGUGGUUGGUGGCUGCCAGCAACUGUGGUUGUGGUUGGUGGGGUGUUGAUGCUGGAGUGUUGAAAAUGAGAAUGAUUGGGCAGUAGGUUAAUGGUGAGGCUGCUGGGAUGGAAGCUGACAAAUAAUUAGUUAGUAGGUUUUUGUUUUGAGUGCCAAGGUGUGAGAGUUGGAGGCAGUCCUUGUACAGGGGUGUUGCAG